rnacentral:rRNA from 1 species
GGCGACCGGCGCACGGGUGAGUAACACGUAUCCAACCUCCGUUUACUCAGGGAUAGCCUUUCGAAAGAAAGAUUAAUACCUGAUAGUAUGGUGAGAUUGCAUGAUUAGCACCAUUUAAAGAUUUAUUGGUAAACGAUGGGGAUGCGUUCCAUUAGGUAGUAGGCGGGGUUAACGGCCACCUAGCCUGCGAUGGAUAGGGGUUCUGAGAGGAAGGUCCCCCACAUUGGAACUGAGACACGGUCCAAACUCCUACGGGAGGCAGCAAUGAGGAAUAUUGGUCAAUGGGCGAGAGCCUGAACCAGCCAAGUAGCGUGAAGGAUGAAGGUCCUACGGAUUGUAAACUUCUUUUAUAAGGGAAUAAAACCUCCCACGUGUGGGAGCUUGUAUGUACCUUAUGAAUAAGCAUCGGCUAACUCCGUG